CUCUAAUGACUUGGUAUCUCUGUCUCUUUAGGCCUGAUACAGUCAAAGCUCUGGUCAAUCUCAGUGUGCCGUUCAAUUUCCGGCCGAGGGAUCCGUCGCCGGCGGUCAAUCCACUUGACGGGUUGCGCACGUUUUACGGCGACAAUUACUAUAUCUGCAGAUUUUAGGUUUGGGUUCGAACUUCUUUUAUUGGUUAUGUAGUGGAUCACGCCCAAGUUCCUUCUGUCUGUAGCCCACCACCAAAACACAACCCAACCCACAACACUUAGAGAAAACCUCAGUUCGUGUCUUUGUUCGAAGAUUGCAAUCACGAAUGUUCUUUCUUCCCCUUUGGAGUCUCUGUCCCCCUUCUUCUCUUUCUCUUAGAUUUUAAUCUCAGAUGCAGUCCCGCUAACAACGCUGACGGAGAUAAUCGCAGUUACAGGUUCGACUUCGGUUGUGACCGAAUCGAACACCACCAGAGGCGACGAGUCUCGAGUUGAUGUUCUACCAAAGACGAUGUCUCCGCUGCCACCGAUCUGCACAGAUUCGAUAGAAAAUGCAGCAGAGAAGGAAUUACACUAAAAGAGAUAAGUAACUAAACCCUAAGUCUUGUUUCUUUAUUAAUCAGUUUCUAGAGUUUGUUCUUUUUACCGAUUAAAUGUAUUUAGGGUUUGAUUAGAGUUGAUUCUGAGUAUUUUGGAUGAUUUAUGUUUAGUCUUGCACACAGAAACGAGAACCACACGCACACACCCUUUGGACAGAGAUAUACGAGUUCGGAUCACUCGAUGUGAGUGAACCUACGUCUCGGCAGGGCUUUAGCCCUAGAUCAAUCUCACUAGAUUUUGGGUUUCCUUUUACACAAAUUUUCACCCAGGAAUACAAUCUGAUUCCUCAACACACACACUGCAAUAAGCAAACAUAAUCAAAGACUAGAACUUAGCUUUCUCUGCUCCAAAGAACUAACGUGUUCUUCUUCUUGCAGGAGUAUUCAGCUUCUUGAAAAACCCUUCAGAAGCCCUUGAUCUCUUGUGAAAAACUGUAUCUUGUACGAGUAUUUUUUUACCUUCAAGUAUCUGGACCCUUUUAUAGCCAAAAAGGUUCUGAAGUCUUGAACUUGCUGUCUGCUGGCUGUUGUCUGCUGCCUCCUGCCUCGUGCCUCGUUUCUUGCUUUCCAAGAAACUAUCACUGAUCCGUCCUGCUAACAACGCCGACAGAGAUAAUCGCAGUUACAGGUUCGACUUCGGUUGUGAUCGAAUCGAACACCACCAGAGGCGACGAGUCUCGAGUUGAUGUUCUACCAAAGACGAUGUCUCCGCAGCCACCGAUCUGCACAGAUUCGAUAGAAAACGCAGCAGAGAAGGAAUCGCACUAAAAGAGAUAAGUAACUAAACCCUAAGUCUUGUUUCUUUAUUACUCAGAUUCUAGGGUUUGUUCUUGUUACCGAUUAAAUGUAUUUAGGGUUUGAUUAGAGUUGAUUCUGAGUAUUUUGGAUGAUUUAUGUUUAGUCUUGCACAGAGAAACGAGAACCACACGCACAUACCCUUUGGACAGAGAUAUACGAGUUCGGAUCACUCGAUGAGUAUUCAGCUUCUUGAAAAACCCUUCAGAAGCCUUUGAUCUCUUGUGAAAAACUGUAUCUUAUACGAGUAUUUUUUUACCUUCAAGUAUCUAGAUCCUUUUAUAGCCAAAAAGGAACUAUGAGCUACUAGGGCCAUGGAUAGGGAGCAAGAUCAUUGUACUGAUAAAAUUCAUAGUGGGCGAUCUAGAUCUGGUUUAGCACAAGCCCAACGUGAAGGAAUAUAUCAACGGUCCUCAAUUCAAAGAAGAGUACCAUUUCUCGAGCCACCGGUGGGGAGUGGCUAAUUGGAUUAACCAGGAAAAAACCGGACGAUAUUCUUCAUCACAUCAGCACGACUUCAUCAACAAGUUCUGAAAACCGACUCCGUUUUAUUAAACCACCGGUUAAAUUGUCUGGUAUAUAUGCCGGUUUGUAGCUUGUGGUUGUUUUCAAGGUGUAAUAGAUAU